GUUUAACGUGUGGCCCUAAAGAACUGGAAACCCAAAGGAACCAAUAUUCCUGCCCCACAGAGUCCCAUCUUUAGUGAGGCUGUUCUGGAGUUUAUAUGAUGACCAAGGUACUAGGCAUGGCCCCAGUUCUGGGUCCUCGGCCUCCACAGGAGCAGGUGGGGCCUCUGAUGGUAAAAGUCGAGGAGAAAGAAGAGAAAGGCAAAUACCUUCCUAGCCUGGAGAUGUUCCGCCAGCGCUUCAGGCAGUUUGGGUACCAUGAUACCCCUGGACCCCGAGAGGCCCUGAGCCAACUCCGGGUGCUCUGCUGUGAGUGGCUGAGGCCUGAGAUCCACACCAAGGAGCAGAUCCUGGAGCUACUGGUGCUGGAGCAGUUCCUGACCAUCCUGCCCCAGGAGCUCCAGGCCUGGGUGCAGGAGCAUUGCCCGGAGAGCGCUGAAGAGGCUGUCACUCUCCUCGAAGAUCUGGAGCGGGAACUGGAUGAGCCAGGACACCAGGUCUCAACUCCUCCAAAUGAACAGAAACCAGUGUGGGAGAAGAUAUCCUCUUCGGGAACUGCAAAGGAAUCCCCGAGCAGUGUGCAGCCACAGCCCUUGGAGACCAGUCACAAAUACGAGUCUUGGGGGCCCCUGUACAUCCAAGAGUCUGGUGAGGAGCAGGCUUUCGCUCAAGAUCCGAGAAAGGUCCGAGGAGAACACACACUGGGGAGAAACCUUACGUGUGCACCAAGUGUGGGAAAGCUUUCAGCCACAGCUCAAACCUCACCCUCCACUACAGAACACACUUGGUGGACCGGCCCUACGACUGUAAGUGUGGAAAAGCUUUUGGGCAGAGCUCAGACCUUCUUAAGCAUCAGAGAAUGC
rnacentral:sRNA from 1 species